ensembl:lncRNA
GCAAUCAAUUUUUUAUCCACUGGUGAAGUGGCAUCUGUUACACACAGUAACCUUGUCAGUGCCAGGCAAUAUACAGAUAAUUUAUAUAUAUAUAAAUAUAAACGUUUAAUUUCAGUUCGUAUGACCACUAUUGCCCGCCAUACAAUAAGUAGGUCUCUGAAAUAUAAAAACGAGUCAAUACACCACCCACUGCAUAUAGAGACAGAGCAGAAAAUACAUUUAAAUUCUUAAAUAAGCUAAGGCCAUAAAUGCAGCCAUAAUAUUAAAGCAAAUCUACGAGAGAUGUCUCACAUAAAACACAAGCUCAUUACCUGGUAAGAAAUCACUGUUAAGUUAGCAUAAAAAAGUAAAUGUGAUUCGCUGACAAAGCCGACUAGUGACUGAGAAACUCAACCGCAUUAGUUUUUUGUUAGGUUUGUCCCGUAGACCUCGCCGUAGGUUUUGUUGCUAUGACAAUUGUACGCUGGCUCGUUGUGCAUGAAAAUGGAGGGACUUUAGCCAUCAAGACUUCGUAGUGUUCACGGAUUUUCUGAUGCUGUGGACACCAAACCAAACGCGUUAACUAACACAUUGGCUCGACAUUUCAGUUUUCCGAGGGAGCAUAUCGUUCCACCACGGAGGAGGAUAAAUGUGCCACCAACCUUAGUGAAAGUGAAAUGACGUCCGAUGACUUGAGGCGUCUUCAAGUCUCGAAACAGGAACUUCGCUAAAUAAUGUUUCCCCGCUCCUCCCGCUAGAUGAUCCCCGUGUGGGCAUUGUCCGUGCCCCUCCCCGCGGUGCUGCUCAUAGCCGUCUGCGCUUACAUGCUCGUCCUCGGGGUGGUGCUGUGGGGCAGACACUGCUUCAAGGUGGAGUGCAAGCCUGAGUGCUGUAGCUGCUGUGGGAGUGUGAGUGUGUGUGUGUGUGACCACUGCAUGGUGUGUGCCGAGGCGUGUGACUGCACCCUCCCGUCACUCCGCUCCUGCCUGGACGUCUCCUGUCCCGCCUCUGCCUGUCCCGACCUCUCCUGCCCCGACCUCUCCUGCCCUGACCCCUCCUGUCCCCAGUGUCCAGCUCCCUCUUGGCCAUGUGGGCAGGUAGACUUAACCUGCACCUGUCAGAGGCCGCAGUGUGACAACAUCAACUGCUUCUGCUUCGAGGUCAGCUUCAGGUGACCUUCUGCUCUGAGAUCAGCUUCAGGUGACCUUCAGCUCUGAGAUCAGCUUCAGGUGACCUUCUGCUCCGAGAUCAGCUUCAGGUGACCUUCUGCCUGGAGAUCAGCUUCAGGUGACCUUCUGCUUCAGGUGACCUUCUGCCUGGAGAUCAGCUUCAGGUGACCUUCUGCUUCAGGUGACCUUCUGCUCUGAGAUCAGCUUCAGGUGACCUUCUGCUCUGAGAUCAGCUUCAGGUGACCUUCUGCUUCAGGUGACCUUCUGACCCCCCAACCAUCAGUGUCCAUCAGUCCACAUGUCUUCUAUGAUCCACCAGCAAGUGACCCACCAUCCGCUCCAGCCGACCCCUGACC